rnacentral:rRNA from 1 species
GGCUCAGAUUGAACGCUGGCGGCAUGCCUUACACAUGCAAGUCGAACGGCAGGCACGGGAGCAAUCCUGGUGGCGAGUGGCGAAACGGAUGAGUAAUAUAUCGGAACGUGCCCGGUCGUGGGGGAUAACGUAGCGAAAGCUACGCUAAUACCGCAUACGAUCUACGGAUGAAAGCGGGGGGGUUCGCAAGAACCUCGCGCGAUUGGAGCGGCUGAUAUCAGAUUAGGUUGUUGGUGAGGUAAAAAGCUCACCAAGCCGACGAUCUGUAGCUGGUUUGAGAGAACGACCAGCCACACUGGGACUGAGACACGGCCCAGACUCCUACGGGAGGCAGCAGUGGGGAAUUUGGACAAUGGGCGAAAGCCUGAUCCAGCAAUGCCGCGUGCAGGAAGAAGGCCUUCGGGUUGUAAACUGCUUUUGUACGGAACGAAAAGGCUCUUUCUAAUAAAGAGGGCCCAUGACGGUACCGUAAGAAUAAGCACCGGCUAACUACGUG